rnacentral:rRNA from 1 species
GGAUGAACGCUGGCGGCGUGCCUAAUACAUGCAAGUCGAGCGAACGGACGAGAAGCUUGCUUCUCUGAUGUUAGCGGCGGACGGGUGAGUAACACGUGGAUAACCUACCUAUAAGACUGGGAUAACUUCGGGAAACCGGAGCUAAUACCGGAUAAUAUUUUGAACCGCAUGGUUCAAAAGUGAAAGACGGUCUUGCUGUCACUUAUAGAUGGAUCCGCGCUGCAUUAGCUAGUUGGUAAGGUAACGGCUUACCAAGGCAACGAUGCAUAGCCGACCUGAGAGGGUGAUCGGCCACACUGGAACUGAGACACGGUCCAGACUCCUACGGGAGGCAGCAGUAGGGAAUCUUCCGCAAUGGGCGAAAGCCUGACGGAGCAACGCCGCGUGAGUGAUGAAGGUCUU